rnacentral:rRNA from 1 species
CUACGGGACGCAGCAGUGAGGAAUAUUGCACAAUGGAGGAAACUCUGAUGCAGCAACGCCGCGUGGAGGAUGACGCAUUUCGGUGUGUAAACUCCUUUUAUAUGUCAAGAAAAUGACGGUAGCAUAUGAAUAAGCACCGGCUAACUCCGUGCCAGCAGCCGCGGUAAUACGGAGGGUGCAAGCGUUACUCGGAAUCACUGGGCGUAAAGGACGCGUAGGCGGGUUGGAAAGUCAGGUGUGAAAUCCUACAGCUUAACUGUAGAACUGCACUUGAAACUUCUAACCUAGAGUAUGGGAGGGGGAGAUGGAAUUAGUGGUGUAGGGGUAAAAUCCGUAGAUAUCACUAGGAAUACCUAAAGCGAAGGCGAUCUCCUGGAACAUUACUGACGCUAAGGCGUGAAAGCGUGGGGAGUAAACAGGAUUAGAUACCCGGGUAGUC